UAGGAGGCGAGAUGAGGCAUAGGUUCCUUGUCUGAUUCAUUUCCUGAGGAAAUUUUUACUCCCUGCAUCUUUUUCAGUCCUCAUUCAGUCAGAGAGUAGCAAAGUGAUUAAUACCAAAUCCAUGCCUGACACAGACUGGAAGAAAGAUGCAAAUUCUUUUAAAACCAGCGCUUAAUUAAUGGCUUAGCAAAACAACCCACUGCUAAAAAACGUGUGGGGUUAUUUUUUUGGCUUCCCCUCCCCUCCUUCCCCCCCUUUUCAGUUGACAAGCUAAUUGCAAGCGACGGCACAACAGCAAAACGCACCAAGGACAAAUCCAGCACCCUUCGAAAUCGACCCCUCGGAAGGAAGAAUUAACAACCUGGACAGAACUGCAGGCAACUUCAGCCCUCCUGCAUCUGCUGCUCGAUCACACUCACUCACAGCCAGCUCUGGUCCUUCCUCACCACACUGCAGAAAUCCUAGGAGAGAUGCGUAUCUAACACCUCAGACAAACACAGACAGUGACCAGAAAAUUAAAACUGCCAGGAAUAAAAAGAUAACACAAAGAGAGCCCUGAGGAAACUGCACCUCCCACGUCUCCCUGCCAUGACGGCCAGCAGCGGUGCAGCAGCGCACGCUGACUCCAGCUGUGCAGCAGGGCUGGGGAGCCCAGCACCACCCCAGGAACCGCGUCCGCAGUGACUCAGGCGUGACUCAGUCAUGGCGCUGCUUCGGCUUCCUCCUUACUCCGGGGGGUGGAGGUAGGAAUUUCCUGCUGGCCCCGUCCUUGUAAAUCACCACGUCCUGUUGCAGCGGUGCUGCUGGUAGGGUCAGUGAGUGGGAGAGCUGGAGCUGCCUCAUCACCUGCAUGGGAGGAGGAGGGAUGGGGCACAUUGCUUGCCUGGGUGUACGCUGAGAUGAUGCUCAGGGACAGCAUGGCAGGUCCAUGGGUCCAACAGCCCCACAUCCAACCUGCAGCAUAGCCCUGACCCCUUUGCAAUGUGCGUACAGCAGCAUAAGAACCCAAUAGCCAUCCUACAACAUCAUGAGUCACUCUGAUACAACCCCAGCUGAUUUCUCAUUAGGGUCCUUUCCAAACUGUUCUAUGAUUCUGUGAAGACAACAUCAGAGAUGAGAAGAGCAUCCAGUCCUACGUGUCUGCAUGGCAUCCCCUGCACCUGUGCAUUUGAAGAUGAAAAGGAAGACAUUUGGUGGAGGCUCUUGGACAACUCCACCAACUCAACAGCACCCUGUGAAAAUCUGCCCAGCUGUCAUAUAGAAAAGCUGAGUUUAAUAACAGUUGUGGCUAGAGGGACUUCCCUAUUUGCAAAAGAACCCAAAAACGUGAACAAGUUGUGCCACAGUAACAUGGAGAAAAUUCAAAGUAUAACUAAGAGAAAAUGGGUGACAUGUAAUUGGAGAGGGAACCAUAUUAGCCUUGUGGAGGCCACCUUCCAGAACAGACCCAACCUGUUCACUGAUGACAAUCCAUCUUCAGAGGAAGAAACUGAAGGAAUGAAAGGAAAAGAAGGAUGCUGGCAGAGAUACGGAGCAGGACUCCUGGUCACACUCCAGGGAUGGUGAGAAAAGACCACAUUUAGCUUGCAUCAGAUACGCACAGCACGUACAAGCUAAGAAUGCCACAGGAGUCCUUCCUUCCAACUGUACACACAGAAUUAGACUGACAGAGAGUGCUCACCUGAUACACAGACAUGCUGGAUGAUGCUUAAUUCUUCACUUAGAAUAAUUGUUUAGUGCCACACAAAAAAAAAAAUAAUACAAUAACAUUAAUUACACCUACCUGUGAGGGACCAAUAGAGCUACCACAACAGGAUUAUAGCCCUUCAACCACCCAGGUGCUUCAACUAUAGCAGGGAAAGAUAGAGCAGUGUUCAUCCAAUGGAGGAACAAAGACACGUGCUUGCAGGGAAAUCAUGGCCUGAGACUAGGACUAUUAAACGUAUUUUAUAUUUCUGAUACUGAAGGUGGAGUUUGGGUACAGUCAGAAGAUGACAGAAUAAACCUGAAUGAAUUUUGACACGUUCCUUAAAAACGAUGGGUUUUGAGAGAUCAAAUGGUUCCAUUCUGACCUUCCCAUCUUAUCAGGAAGAUGAUGGAUCUUGGAGCAUCUUAUGGCAUCUAUCAUAUCUGGGCAUCAAAGACACUUAAAAAAAAAAAAAAAGAAUUCACAAGGGCUCUUAUGCCUACAGAUAGUAUAACCAGAUACAGUGACAAGGAAACUGAAACUAAAUAGAUUCUGACCAAAAAUAAGAGGCUCGUUUUGAGCAGCCAAAGGCAAUUAACCCCUGGAAGUGCUCCUGAAGGACGCUGGGUGGUUUUCCAUCACUCAAUGUUUUAAAAUCAAGGAUGGAUGUUUUUUUUAUCUGGACAGAUGUAGCUCAGACAGGGAAGUCUUAUGGCCAGCCCUAUGCAGAAGGUCAGAGCAGACUCUGACGAGGAUCCUGGCUGCCUCCAUAACCUGCCCAGCCGUUCACCUACUGACUCCCCAGUGCUGUUCCUGCAGCACAUAGCCUUGUUUUCAGUCAGUCUGUUUCCCCACGGAUGACCAGACCUGACCCUGCUGAGAUAACAAAAAGCCAAAGGGUUCAGAAGUGAGGAAAACAGGAAAUCCAAACAGUGAAAAUCUCAGCAAUAACGUUUCCUAACAAAGACCUUCAGAUCUCACUCUCAGCCAGCAGCUGUCUUCAUGACGUCCAAAAAGGACGACGUUUAGUGUGAUGAAGACUAUCUUUCUGCCAUUUAUUUUUACCCUGUUUAUUUUUCUACACUAUGACAUUUUCCUCAUCAAAAUCUUGGUCACAAAUGAAGCUGCUAAUCCAGAUCUAAGAAAACAUACACUAAUGCAUGUACUAUAUACGCUGCAAACCCAUGGGCCCACAGGAUGCAGUUCAUGCCAGAUAAAACCAAACCAAUACCUGCGACCACCUCAACUCCCCUUUGGGCUACAAAAUCAUCUGGAAUGUUGCAGAGCCUUUGUAUUUGUGGAGAGCUGCAAAGAGACACACUAUUACUUAAUCUAUUGUGCUGCAAGGCCUAAGACUGCAAAGCAACUCAAAACAUUACUCCAUUAUCCCAUGGAAAAGCAAAAGCAAAAACUGAAGAGAGAGGAAAGUUGAACCUGAAGGAAAGUACCAUGAUUAUCUGCCUUACUGCUUUUGUAUUUUAAGUCUUCUCCAAAGAAGACGACAUUGCACUACAUGCAUCCAAACUGCAAGUAUGGCUGUGACAUCCACUUCAGCUCAACAGCUGUAAAUUGCUGUUGCAUCUACACCACUGGGUCCUAAGACCUCAUCCUAGGUCUUAGCAAUGAGUGCUAAGGGAAAUGAAGGUGGAUCUUCUGUUUUAAGGUUUGGAAGUUGCCUUGCACUCAAAUUUGAAAUUUCAUCGAUGUUUUAGGUGAAAUUUGACUUUUCUCCCCGGCAGAACAGGCAGGGCACGUGUGUGCCAUUACACUGCCAUCUAGUGAUGCGAGUUCGCAAGGCAAAAGAGCUGGCAAAAGAUGGCUGACCAACAGCAAGUACCAGACAGAGCCCAACGUGUGGAGGAAGGGCCAGAAUUAAGUUCAAUUAAAUCAUACCGAGAGAAAUGCAAAAGGCACAGCCAGUGGUGGCCCUCAAACUCAUACAAGAGAGACAGACAUUAUGGUGCACAGGAUAACAAAAUGAAUGCAAGGCUUGGGGCUGCAAAGAGGUUCAUCCAUGAUCCAGCUGCUACCCGUCACAGGGCACGUUUAGAAAAGACAACUACAAGCCUCAAAAUCCAGCUGGGUUUGUUCUGCCAAGCUCAUGUUCAAGCAAUGACUCCAUAGAAGUUUUUCAAAAGAGCAACCCUCUUUCACGCUCCUUGGUCAUCUUCCUUCCAGCUUUACUAGAUUAUUUCUCAGAAUAACACCCUCUUGACCUUCACUCAGUUGUAUCAGGGUAUCUGGGCCAAAUUUCUUCUCUCUGUAAUCGAUUUUGGUGGUUUCCACCACAGACCAUUCUGACAGUCUCUAUCCACAGCCAUCACUACGGUCAAUCAGGAUCCAAAAGGGAUUUACUAAGCAGCACAUUGCACCGUUUACAGACAUCCCCCCUGCUCAAGGACUGGACAGCAAAGCUAAAGCUUAACACAUGAACCUGAUGUGAACUGACCUUUAUGAGUCAAAAUCCCAAUCCCAACGUUUUACUCAUCUUGAGGAUAUUUGUCCUCAGUGGUAUGUGUGUCAGAGGGCGUGAAAGUGAGAGUGCCUUGAGGUUAACAAUUGUUCGUGCUCAUAGUGGAUGAAUCAUAUGAUAACACCACAGCAACAUCCUGUAUAAUUGUUGGGAGCCUCUAUUUCUGGCAGCGUGUCCCUACGCUGUCUCAUGGGUAAAUGUUAUUUGUGCUUUACUGUAUAAAACCAAAAGCAAACAAAAUGAUACAACGGGACACUCUUCUGCAGGCACUUGCCAAAAUCACAAGUGCCUAAUUGAGCCUCCAGUUACCCGCUCCAAUGAUAAAUUGUGUGAUGAAGUUAAUAAGGCUGAGAUGGAAUAUCUCUUUUCUUCAUGUGAUUAGUGUGUGAGCAACUCUCCACAUGUGAGUAACAAUAUUUGUGUUUCCUUAGCCACAAUUGAACUCAGUGGGACUAUCACAUACAUAAAGAUCUGGGACGUUGCUUGUGAGGCAGUGGGUGCUGAGGGAACAAGCAUUGCAGGUCAGAAGAUUUAUGUUUUCCUUCUGCAUGACUGUAAGCAAGUCACUCCCCCCUGUUCUCUCUCCCUUUUGUCUAUUCAGAUCUACAGCGCACAGAUUCUGCUGCUCUUUGAGCAACGGGGCUGCACCAAGAGCAUACCCAGCUCACUUCACAUCGGGAAACACAGCGGAUGCUCUUGCAAUCCUCACACUUAGGGCAGAGGACAGUUCUUGUUAGCACUCAUAAGGUGAUGGCAGGGUUUUGGCCGCUGCCUUGUGACACCAGUUCCAAAGCACAACAAAACAACAUGCUGGCAAAUGCAAUUAACAUCCCAUCCUUCAUCAUAGAAGCUUCAGGUGGAAUGCCCUGGGAAAAGCUGGGCGAAUGGCACAGCCAAUUUCUUUGCAUGGAAGGGAACCAGGGAAAACCUUUCAAUGAUAUAAAACUGUAACAUUUAAGGCAGAGGAAAAAAUCUUCCUCCAGAGGAUUUCAAAGUAUGGGUCUGUUUCUCAAAACAGCUACAUUGAAAUCCUUGAAAUCAUUGAAAUCCCUGCCUUCUGUUUAGCUCUGAUAAUAAUGUACUUUUCAAACGCCACCCAAGUUCACCCAAAGAUCAUCACUAUUAUUUUCCCACUUCCAUUGGAAAUGCUUGCAGUGCUACCUAUAGAAACGGAUGGGAUACUCACAUUAAUAUGAUUUUUAGAACCAUUUUGGGGGUCAGCCACACACCUUCCAUAAAAACAAAAGCAGGCUUGCUCACUUUAAAUUCUCAUGAGGUUAAUUUUAAGGAAGUCUUUAAUGUCAUGUUAAAGAAGAAGCAGGACAAUGUUAGAGCGCAGGGCUUGAAAGCUUCCCAUUGCAGUGGGAGCAGAUGAGCAUUUCCACACGUGCAGCCCCGAAAGGAGCUGCUCUGCCUUCAGAAAAGACUGAAUUACUCAGUUCUGAGACAAAAAUAAACCCUCCAGAAUCAAACAAACGAGCAGAUCGGCAGCAGAAAACGGAGCCGCUCCACCAGGCCCUGUUUGCUGUUUUGGCUUCCAACCUCGGGGUCGUUGGCUCACGUCUCACUGCAUCCACAAUCCCCACUGAUCCCACACCAGCCCCCAGUCUGGGCCUAACCCCAUCCGAGGCUCUGCCCUCCCCAUGCUCCAACAAACCACUCUCUCCCUGCUCCAAAAUAAGGAAGAAAAAAAUAAAUAAAAAAAAUCCCGUCAAAUUAAAAAAUAUAUAUCUUCAUGGCUGCCUCCUCAUUUCCUGGCUGCAGACGGGACCGGAAAUAGCUCAAUUUCCUGUGAAAGCUGCUCCCAGGGGAACUCAAGGCUGCCUGCAGCCGGCAGUGAGGGCCGGGAGGCUCCGCUCAAGUUCGAGCUGGAAAAGCAGUGCUGCUCUUUAGCAAUGGGCACCCAGGAUCACAACGUGAUGGGGGAAGGAGAGGUGUGAGCAACAGAAUAGGAUAGGAAUAAAGAACACGUGUUUGUGGCCAGGGGAAGUGUUACCACCACCAUUCAGCAAUGAAUUCUAUGAUUCUAUAACUUCACAACCCCCUACAGCCCCCCAAAUUUUAAAGGAGAACAUCCUUAAGCUGUACUCUGCAUGCUGGGGAUGUUUGCUCAUGAUUAUCCCGAAUGGUGAUUCUUUUCCCGCAAUGAAAUGCAAUUUAUUAAGACGACGUGAAGGUUGGAUUCAGCAGAGUGCAGAGAGAUUUAAUAGUCCAGAGGGACGGGAGGGAAAAGAUGGAUGAACAUGGACUACUUCUGAGAAACCCUGCAAAUAGGUGGAGCAAUUCACAAUCCAAUAAGCCCUAUGGGGAAAGCCUUAUCUUUCCUUCCUGCUCUGGAAAUCCAUUCUUCUGUGCCUUUUCAUGGCUAGACAAGUCUCUAGUUAUCCAAAGAGAUGAAAAGUCCAAAGGAGCCCAUAUCCCUUUUAAGCAGUCACAUUAGAUUGUCCUUGCAAUAGAGAAGCUGAAUUGUAUGACAGAUUUUUUACCAUGUUGUCUUUGCCUAUAGGAAAAGAGCAUUAGUGGCUACGGAGAGGCAGCUUGGGUCACAUUCAUCUCUCAAGUGUGACCAUCUAAAAGUUGGAUUUUGGUUCUCAUUUAAUUGUUUGGGUGCUUUCUGUCACAAAUGAAGAGAUAUAACCAACCCUAAAGAAGAGGGAAACAACCAACGCUAUCCGCUGCAUCUCAAUGGUAGCGGCUUGGUCUCGACACCUGCAUUUUAGAUGACUAAACUUAUUCAAGAGAAACCUCAUUCAUACAAUUUAAGGAAAAAUAAUAAAACACCAUAACACACAGGCCUACCUCCCACUGAAAUUAAAUAAUAACCUCAAAAAGUGGCCAACAGCAACCUCAGGUCACACAGCCAACGUGUAGCUGUGAACCAUGGAGUCCUUGGAGCUGGCGCAUGAGGAAGCAGCCUUGGACCUGACCUCUACAACACCCUACAGAGAGGAUGUUGGUGGACAAACCUAUGCUUAGUUUAAUCACUGAAAAUAUCACCUCAACCUGACCAAUCAAUAACCCAAUCAAUCUACUGAGCCUUCACAGUUCUUACCUACCGAACAUCUUUGCUUUGGUAAUUAUCAAUCACCCUUAUGCAGGAAGGUACCUUCAGUUUUUAGAACUGCUUAAUCCUUUGAGAGACAGAUGAAUUUUAAUGAUUUAGGUUAUUAACCUAAAGGUUGAUCCAGACUGGGAGGAACAGAAUAAUUUGUUUAAUCAUUAUUAUUAUUUAUAAUUAUUUAACAUAGGGGAGAAAAAUAUCACCUUAAAUGUCAUGGUGAAGCUUUUUAAUUGCCUCAGAUGAAAUUCAGAAUAAUCACUGCUCUGUAAAUGUAUACAGAUCUAAUUUUACAUACCUUAAGAUGCUGGAUAUUUAUCUGAAAGAUGCAAGGAAUGUAUAUUCAUUACUGUAUAGGCAGUGACAGAAAAUACUGGUCUGCCAUUUAUUGAGAAUGAAUUAGUCCUCCCAAUUCAUAACUCUGCUAUAAUUUGACUUGAGGCAGAAGGAAAAAGCUGAGCAAGGUGCUUUUUUUCUUCUUUCUUCAUUCCAGGACUUUAACGUGUCCUCUAUGAAGAAGUAUGCUCUGUGGAUGCUUAAGAACAUUAAUUUGUGGGGCUGAUUUAUAGUACAUAUUUUGGGGAGAAGUGUAGAUUUACUUGCAUUUCAAACGGUCACAAUGAGGGAUGCCCAGGAGACGGGGAAUUUCAGUAGGUGACAAAUAAUGGUACCUGGGCCCAUCAUAUGGGGACUAUGAGUACACAGGAAAUACAUGAGACUCGACAGCUUCAAAGGGAUUUUUUGUGGGGCUUUUUGUAGCUCACGUAGUGAAGGAGGUGAGCAUACACACAAAAACUGCUUCUUGAGAUGGAUAUCUCUGCAGGGCCAGCAUCCCAAGGGAAUGAAAAGCAUAAAAUUGGGAUAUGGGUAAGGCAGGAUGGGACUCCCCAGGCAGGUUCUGCUCCUAUGCUUGUAUUCACACCAUCGCAACCCAGCAAUGAGGCACCCAGUGUGAUUUACUCUCAAAUCCAAGUGAAACGGACACUGUUUUCAUUUCCACGUGGAAAAUACAGCGUUGCUGGAAAACAAACAUGACUUAAGCAAGUGUCUGCCCAUGUUCUCAGAUAAUAGCAAGCUUAGAGCAUAAGGACAUGCGAGCAUCAUGCCAGUAACUCUGACUCCAACACUGAGCUGAUGCCUUGAGAGAGAAUACAGUUUACUUUACAUCUGGGCUGGACACAGAACCAUGGCUGUGUGGAUGCACUCAGCCACAGCACCUCUGCAGCUGAAGGAACAGCUUUCCUUCUGACAGGAACCUUCAAUAAUAAACAGCAGCUCAAUGAAGAAACAAAGCCAGAAAGAAAGAGCCAUCGGGCUCCCCUGUAAAUCAGCAAAGGAACCAAGAGCCCAGUGUAGGGUGGGAGGGCGAUGGGCCUCAUCACAGCCAAGCUUCUGGUGUUGCAACAGCUCCUGUAGGCACCCCACAUUUCUCUGUGCCUUAUUCAUGCUUUAUUUUGCAAAGCCCUUUGUUUUCUGAGCGGAGCCAGAUCAAGGCCUCCCCGUUUCCCACCACAUACAUGUCUCUGUGCCCCCGCUGCUGCUAUCAGAGCUGGGGCACAGGCACUCCAAGUGCCUCGUCUUGGGGAAGCAUUUGCAUUUUCAUUGGCACAGGUACAGCAUUCAGAAUUCUUUCAGGCCAGGCCAAUUAAAACAAGCUGAAAACUGCUGAGUGCAGCAGUUUUAGCAAGGAUCUGCUUACAUUCCCCCUCUGAAAAAAGCAGGGGGCCCACUUUCUGUAACUCUCUCCCUCUCUGCACAGUGUGGGUUUUGCUUUUUUUCCCCUUUUCUUCUUCCCUUUUUCUUUUUAAGGUGGAAUGACUUGUGCCCUUUACACGGGAGCUCUAAGAGAUGGGUGGCAGAACUCGGGAAUGCGGCUUCAUUUUAAACCAAGGCCCGGCUCUCUAACACCAAACUGAAGCAUGGGAAAAGAAAAAGGAGAAGAAAACAACAAAAACCAGUAACCGUCUCCACAUUAACACACUUUACCUCCCUCACAAACCUUGCAUGGCAUCUUCUUAAAAAGGAACAGAGCCACAUAAUUAGCAAUCAGUUGAAGCCUAAGGCUUUUCUUCCACCACAGAGACUAUUCAAUGCUUACUGGCCCUACUAGCACACUCUUAUUACCCCACGUUUCUUUUUGGACAGCUUCUUUCAAACAUCAACUGUGCUGUAAAUGCAUGCUGACAGGUUAAAAGACACCGUUUUCACUCCCUCGAAGAAAAAAGCCAUCCCUACGCUACCAGCGCUGCUUUCGUCCAUAUUAAGAAUCGCCAAGUGCUCCAACAAGAUGUGGGGUUUUUGGAACUCAGGGUUGUAGGGAAGGACUGAAGCACAUGUGCUCAGUGAAUUGGGUUUCUGCACAUACACCCUUAUCCUUGGAGCUUGGCAAGGAGCAUCUAAUGGCAGUGACUGUGCUCAUGGUGCUGGCCACUGCUCCAAACACCUGCAUGCCAGGAGCCACUGUAUAAGGCAACUAUCAUGGAGAGAACACCUACAGACACCCUUGCAUCUGCUUGGGUAAAAACAGGCUAAUCCAGCAGGGCAAACCACAGCAUGGGGAUUUGCAUUUGUUUUCACCUCCCAGAAUGAGGCAGUGUCAGUCUUAGACCAGCUGAAUUCAUCUGAAAUCCAUAAUAUGAGUAAAACUGGGAUCCACUCGGAGUUGAUUUGGGUUUCAAACAACCACAGAACAUGCAGGAUUCACAUACGGUGAUCUUAUCUUGAUAAGCACUGGGUUUAUAGUGCAACCUACACAAUACAGCUCAUUCCAACGCCUGCACAUCCAGGAGUUACUACAGUAUAGCUGGAAAUGGAAUCACAAUGCAACACUGCCACAUCAUCUGCUCACCUAACCACCACAGCACUACUAACACACUAAUGGGAGAAGCCUGUAAGAAACGAAACAGGUGACAGUCGGAGUAAACAGUGUAAAAUGUGAGACAACAGAAACACCACAUUUCUUAGCUCAUCCCUGAGAGAAACAAUUACCUUCAGCUCUUUUCUCUCUGCUUUCAGAGCCCUGGCUCUAAGAACGAGCUGGCCCAAGGGACCAGGAAACUGGGACAUCGUGACUAUUCUGGAUCAAAACCCUUUUCUUUCUCAAAGGCAGCCGGGAUGCCCUCUGCAGUGACCUCCAGCAGCUCAACUUGUAACCUGCUACACAGGUGACUCUAGAGGCCAUUUAUUGAUUUAAUUAGGGCAGACAAAGAAAAGACCUAAUCAGUCCUUGAAGUACACGGAACAUGCGAUGAGCACGCUGCCAUCCCAGCUCUGUCUGCUUAGAGAAAGCGAGAUCAGUGAUCUUUAAAAGCUCGAGCAGAUCCACAACUUUCAUAAUAACAGGGACAGGAUCUGACAUUCACAUGGCGACUUACAUGCUGAAGCAUCCUGAAGUACCUGAAAAGACCAUGCAGCUCCACACCUCCCUUCCUGCCCUACUUUACAGCUCUACCUGCAUGGUGGCAUCUCUUCUCUGCAGGCCUGAAACAACCCCCAGCCCUCUGAUCCAAAACCAGCAACGUCUUUUUAUCUUAUAGAAAUCAUUCCUGUUUUCUUUAUAUCACCAGUGAACCUUAAUUAGUCCCUACCUUGACAGCCUUCCUUCAGUAUAACAAAAACAGCAAACAAUAGCAAACAAAUAUAUAUUAAAGUAUCCUCAAUUCAGAGAGACAUAAACACAGACUGAACUGAACAGGUGAUCAUCAAGGGACACCCAAAUACAACAAACUACAUACAGACAGUCACUGUAGCUGAGCUGUUUUGUGGGUCAGGAUUACCUCCACCUGGGACACUUGGUUUUCCAGUGCCAUUCUCUAAGGGUAUCACCCAUUCUCCCACAUUGGGAUUCUCCCCAGUAGUGCCCUACCAAGCAUCCUUUCUUCCUGGCCCACAGGGAAGGAAAAAAAAAAAGAAGAGAAUCAGGAAACACUCACUUGGUCAUGUCCUGAGCAAUUCCCAAGAUGCGAAUGAGCCCAGACUUCCUGCUGUCCCCUCAAAUAUGUUAUUUUCCACUCCCACCUUUUUUCCUCCUACUUAUCUCCCUCCUCCCUUGCCUUCUGAGGCUGACUGAGUCAACUAGUGCAGAUUAGAUGCCAAGCAAUGCAGGCUCUGUACAAAGAUUCAACUCCCACAGACAGGCUGGAGAGAUAAAAGCAGUCUAGUCAAACACUGUCCAGAGACAGCACAGGGAGAGCUGGGCUUCCAGUGACUCUCACUGGGUGAUGUCUCACACUGGUGACUGUCCAGAGUCUGAACUGCAAGGACCAGAGGUGUACACGCUUCUUUCUGGUGCCUAAGUUUAAACAGAAAUGAAACAGGUCACAUUUUCCAAAACCACUGUUCUUUGGAGAUUAGCUCAGCUGAUGGAAACUGCGAUUCAGAGGUGCAAUGAGACAGCUCUCCUCCUUGCACUGCCUUACUGGGACACGAAGGCAAUGCCCCAUAGGAAACCUCUCCAAAACCUGCUGUAACAGCACGUGCUGCAGGUAGGCAGGCCUGCCCAUCCACAGUUGUGCCGUUCAGCCUUCCUUUGCAGUGCUCCCCUGCCAUUUUGAGCAGCAGCAGCAUUUUCUCCUUGAGUGAUGCACAGAACAUCACGGCAUUUGUUGUGGUAAAUAGUUCAGUGGCAAAGUGCCCGUUCCAUCUGCAGACCUCCAAAUGACCCUGAAUGCAGAGGUACGGAAAAGCUUUCCAUGCUCAUCCAGCCCAUCUCUGGUUACAUGAUAAGAAACGAGGCUGACACAGCAAUAUAAAUGUUACUACUCGCUAAGAAUGACCGCGGGUCAGGCCACAGGAUCCAGGGGAUACCCAGUAACAGAAGCUGUCAUAUUUAUCGCUGGCGUCUUCAGAGCCAGCUUUAGUAGCUGGAGACAGAGCACACAAAAGGACUAUUCAGAGCAGCCCAUGGUCUGAAAUGAAACAGAUGCGCUGUGGAAGUUUGCAAACUCCCCAGCACAGAAGGUUGGCAGAUCUCUGCUCUGUACCCAGGGCCCAUCUUCUUGGCAAGAGCCCUGCACACCCCGGUGCCAGUGGCACUGCUCCUGCUGUGCAGACGAAGGGCGGUCUGGAGGACAAAGCAUUCAGCUUGGCAGUUAAAGGCAGGGAGAACUAAACCGAGGCUGAGAGCCCACUCGAGCUUUUAAGCCCUCCCACCAAUUUUGGACGGUAAGCUGGUAUUUCAGGAAUUAGUACAACCAAAGGCACCUGGUCUGGUUUUACGGACUGGAACGCUCUUGGAAAGCAAUCAGAUACGAUUUGGACAAAAACAAUGGAGGCCCAGACACAGAGGCUGCCCUGGGAGAGUAUACCAGCUGUCUGCUCAGUUUCAAACCUCUAAUCAUGUUCUUGGAGAGAAAAGCAAGGGGACCUGUUAGGGGUUGCCGAGCUCCGAGCUCAGGGCCAGGUCCAGGCGGUGGAGCCCACGAGAGGGAGUCCUCCCAGCACAGAGGCAGCCCCAGCGCCUUGGACUUGAAUUUCUGGCACCCGGACAGCAGUAAAUGAGACCGAGUUUCUGAGUAUUCACCACGGGCUGGGGAUGAGGCAAGUGGAUUAAAAACAGUGGCACAAGGAAAGAUGAAAUAGUGGAAAUGGGGAGAGCAGCAGGAUGAAGGCUGGCAGUGCACAGAUGGGCAGAGCACCUGCUGGCAUGGCACGCAUCGCUCCCAGGGAAUCCAGGCUACUGGUACUGCCUCAAAGCAAAGCAAAGCCUCAGCCAGGAAUAUCCAAAGCCCUCCUUCAACUCUUAACAAAAUCUUUACAAACUACACAGGAGCAUUCAACAGCUGGUAGACCGCAAAGCUGCUCCUUCACAGAUCGUUCCAAGAGACCCUGGUGCUCUCCCCAUUCAUUUCCUUAAGCCAUGCUUUGUCUCAAUGCAACCUGUGACAUCACAUGAAGAUAUCUCAUUCUGCCUUCCAAGCACCCCAAUGAGAUGCAGGCAAUUACCUGAGCCCUUUGUUAGGUGUCUAAUACUCUUGUGCCCUGCAGAAGAUCAGCAGUGUUUCCAAAGGUGAUUCAGCCCACCCCAUUGGCCUCUGUGCUACUUAACAUGGGUGCACUGAGCAUGAGGAGGGGGGGAAGUCAUCCAGCUUUGUGCACUCUACUCCAAUCUCCGUACAGGACCUCCUGUUGCUGCCACUAAGCUCCAAAUCCAGCGUGCCCCAUACAGAGCCCUGGCACGCUCAAUACCAUGCAGUGGCACCUUGAAUCUGUCCCCUUUCUGCCAGACCCUGGGCCCUCCCUGUGAUCACAAGGAGAGAUGGGCACUCUCAGAGCAAUAUUCAAUCUGUUGGGAGCCUGAGUUGCUUCCUGCACCUUAUUUCUCUGCAUUGACCCAAAGGUACGUUUGGUGGAACAGGACUGUGACCCAGGACACGCAAUCUUGUGCUUCAUGUUACAGCAAAUCUACAACUAAGAGCUUGCACAUGCAGUGUGAGAGAAUAAGAGCUGCUCUGGAGUACUUGCACUAUAAAAUGCUGCACGCCUGAGAGGUUUUUGGACUCCAAGUAAGCCACAAAUAUGAAGUGUGAAUGGUUUACACUGGCACCUGGUCUUCUCAGCAGCUGAAUAUGCAUAAACCAUGUUGGAGUUAACCAAAGUAGCGAUCAAAGCACCAGGAAGCUAUCGUAGAACUGAGCCCUGGUUAUGGGAACUGAAAGAAACCAAACCUUUAGAGGAGUGUGAUUCAACUCCUGACCACCAGACUAAGGCACAACUGCUCCUGAAGCCACCCAAGACACAGACUUGCACCAAUUGCAGAUCUGGUCCUGUUUGAAACGCUUUCAAAGAAACCGAAUUGCAUUCAGUUUCUUAGGAACUGCCUCAGAUCUCACAUUACCAGCAUCCAAAGAGAGAAAUCAAAGCACAGCAUACUUCAAGGUAUGAAUCAGCAAAAGAACUCCUGGAUUUCUAAGAUGGAUUUGAUAAGCUGCUGUUCCCUGCACUAUCAUUAUUAUUAAUCGAACCUUUCAGAGAUCCCGUAGCAUUCUCAGUAAACAAUGUCAGAAUUCACAUCUUUUUCCACACAAAGCACCCAUUGGGGUUAAUGCAAAAUCCAUUCGUAUGCAGGCCCAGAUUCAGCCCUCAGGAUGCUACUCACAGAACUCAGAGUCACUCCAGGGAAGAGGCUGCCUGAUCACGGUGGUGAUUCUAUGACAUCUGCAAUGCACUGCACCGCUCUUGUCUUUGAAUACAACUUCAGCCUCGCCUCAGUGAUCCCUCCUUUGUGGUGGCAUUCCUUUCUCAUCCAGCUGCCAAAAGGAGAUCUGAAAUGAACAUCAUAAACAUUGAUUUUUUUUUCCUGCUAAGCAUCCAAAACCAUAUCCGAGAUAAACAAACAAAGCAAAACACUUGGCCUGAACCAUAUCCUGGCUCCAAACAAAUCUGGAUAAGAAAUUUGUGGUUGAGAUCUGUCAUAUUAAACCCAGAGAACUAAAUCUAUCUCAGAUGUGUCCAUUUCUGUGAUUCCAGGGACCCAAAACAUUCUGUGGUUUGGUUAACAUCCUUUGCCAUCAUUCUGAAUGUGACUUAUAGGCGGGUCUGUGCCAUGGGGUCAGGGACACCCCAGUUGUGUAUGAGAGAGCUAAUCCAGACCCAGAAACACCAAGCAGCAUGGAGGAAGAUGUAGGUUUUAUAUGGGCAGUCUAGUUUCUGGAAUCAGAGCAUCUCUGCAACCCUGUGCCAGAACUACCUUUGGGAUCUGUUCCACCCCAAGGACAUGCCCUUAGGCCUGGGCACAUCUCACUUACCUUUAGGAACCUGCCUGAAGUGCCUCAGGUGAGAGACAUCCCCAAGGCACUCCUGCAAUCAACAGCCAGAGGUACCUUUGGAGAUGCCAAUCUCUCGCAUUAGCUAUAACGCCUUAGGGCAGUUCAAACCCAAUGAUCUAAGCCAGCCAGUGCCUCAGAUCCAGCUUUCCUUUGUGCUCUGUUAUCCUGGCAGUUGUUUGGCUCCUGCCCAAAAAUGGAGCACCUUGGGGAUCUCGCAUCAUGGCCCAAGCUUUCCAAAUGGCAUCAUCUGCAAAGCCUUAAGGACGUAUGUGGAUCAUCAGUUUCUCAUACAGAGCAUCUUUCCUUCCCAUCGAUUUUCCAUCACUGCUCUAACUUCCAGCAAACACAAGGGAUUUCCUGUGGCAUGUGGGACUCGAUGGCAGGACAUUGCUAAAACCAAAGACAACGAGAGGCUGCAGAGCUCCAAACGUGCCGCACCUUGUACUCGCAGCUCCCACCGAGUUCAACUUUUGCCUAAAAAGAACUAAUUAACACUGGACGGCCCCGCAGCAAUUCCUCACCCGCUCUGGAGCAGAGGAGCCCAUCACUAUGGUGAUACAACAUUAAAGGGCUGGGUUCAAAAUGCUUUGCUGGCAUGAAGAUGAACACACCAGGCCAGAACCGGGGAUGCCAGGCGAGCUGCUUGUAACUCUGGAGGAGAUGCUCCAGGCUUACCCCAGUGUCACAGAGAUUAGCCCUGGCUCACGGCCUUUGAGGACAGCUCCAUCCCGGCAGGCAGAUGGCUCGCCUUCUCAUUUGGAGGGGCUGAAUGACUUUCCAAAACCUUUGAUUCCUGACUGAUGUAUUCACUUCAGGAGACACAAAAGUACAAAAUCUCAGCAUGGAGUGACUCCCGUGCUUUCUUUUUUCCUUCCUUCCCACCCCCCCGCCCUCCUGCUCCUUGUCUUUUCUUUUCUUCUCUCCCUGGACAGUUUUUAUAAUAUUUGGAAUGCAGCCAGAAUGUCUGUCCUUAUUAACUUGGGCUGGCUGUGAAACACCUGCAGCCCAUUAUAGCGGGAGGAUGAAACAAAGUCAACUGUCAUAGGUAAAGUAAUGACCGCUUUUCUUCCUUUGUUUUAACAUACUUAAAGGGACAUUCGAGAAGGGAAGGCAAAAAUGACAUAGCUUCCCCAUCGUGCCUGCCACUGACUGGGCUCAAUGGAAGACACCGGGUCAUAUUUUUAUCUGAUAAGUGACUGCAAUAAACAGUUAUACCCUCA